rnacentral:rRNA from 1 species
GUGUAGGCGAAGCGAAAGCGAGUCUGAAUAGGGCGACUGAGUAUGUUGGAUUAGACCCGAAACCCGGCGAUCUAGGCAUGACCAGGUUGAAGGUGCAGUAACAUGCACUGGAGGACCGAACCAUUUAAUGUUGAAAAAUUAUUGGAUGAGUUGUGUUUAGGGGUGAAAGGCCAAUCAAGCCGGGAAAUAGCUGGUUCUCCGCGAAAACUAUUGAGGUAGUGCCUCGGAUGUUUUCCUAUGGGGGUAGAGCACUGGAUGGGCUAGGGGGUCCCAACGACUUACCAAACCUAACCAAACUCCGAAUACCAGUAAGUAGAGCGCAGCAGACAGACUACGGGUGCUAAGGUCCGUGGUCGAAAGGGAAACAGCCCAGACCUCCAGCUAAGGUCCCAAAAUCAUAGUUAAGUGGGAAAGGAUGUGGGAAGGCCAAGACAACCAGGACGUUGGCUUAGAAGCAGCCAUCGUUUAAAGAAAGCGUAACAGCUCACUGGUCAAGCGCUCCUGCGCGGAAAAUGUAACGGGGCUUAAGUGAUACACCGAAGCUGCGGAUUCGAUCUUUGAUCGAGUGGUAGCGGAGCGUUCCGUAGGCCGAUGAAGGCAGACCCGCGAGGGCUGCUGGAGGUAUCGGAAGUGAGAAUGCUGACAUGAGUAGCGACAAAGAGGGUGAGAGACCCUCUCGCCGAAAGUCCAAGGUUUCCUGCGCAAUGCUAAUCAGCGCAGGGUUAGUCGGCCCCUAAGGCGAGGCAGAAAUGCGUAGUCGAUGGGAAGCAGGUUAAUAUUCCUGCACCAGUGGGUAGUGACGGAUCUCGUGUGUCGUCAGUCCUUAUCGGAUUGAACUGGCGGCGAAGAGGUCCCUGGAAAUAGCUCCCACAUUAGACCGUACCCCAAACCGACACAGGUGGGCUGGUAGAGCAUACCAAGGCGCUUGAGAGAACUAUGCUGAAGGAACUCGGCAAAUUGCUCCCGUAAGUUCGCGAGAAGGGAGCCUCUGCAUUGGGCAACCAGUGUGGAGGGGCACAGACCAGGGGGUGGCGACUGUUUACUAAAAACACAGGA